AGUGGGAGCUGGGGCAGUCCCCCAGAUCUAAAUUGCUAUGCCACCCACUAGCUCAAUGUAAAUAAAAAUGUGAAUAGAGCUUACAUUCCCAGAGGGCAAGGAUCUGGUCCUUUAGUAUAGCAACUAGCACAGGGCACUGUACACGGUACGCAUUCUACAAAGAUUUCUUCAGUCUUGGAAAGAAACCAAGAAGGAAGGGAUUGAAAUGAAUAGGAGAAAGAAGAGAGCUUGCUUCUGGACUGUUCAUGGAUAAAGGUCCGCCGUGACUGAAGGUCUCAAAACAAUGUACCUCAGAUUCUCAAGAAUUCUCCAGAUGGAGAGAAACAUCACCAUCCCUGGCCUGAGUGUCCACCUUCCUGCGGUGUGAAUACUUUGAAGGAAAUGGAAUUGCUUGGAGGAGGCUGGGGUAUUUAACCUGGAGAAGAGAAGGCUGAGGAUGGAUAAGACAGCUGUUUUCAAGUAUUUAAAGGACUGGCAUAUGGAGCAAGAAGCAAAUUUGUUCCAUCUCACCCCAGAAGACAGGACCAGGAACAAUGAGUAGAUGUUACAAAGAGGCCAGACCGGAUAUCAUGAAAACUUCCUAUUCAUCCUAACUAUUAAUUAGAGCUGCCCAAAAGUAGGACGGACAGAGUUCCCUUCCUUUGAGAUCUUUAAGCAGGGACUGGGUGGCCAUUUGCACAGUGUGUUAGUAGUAAGGAUUCCUUCCAUUUAAAUGUUGGACUAGGAGCCUGCUGAAGUUCUGUCCAGCUCUCACAUUCUGUGAUUCAUAGAGCUCAUCAGUUUUCAGAAUCUGAAAGAAACCCAGAGGUCAUUCUAGUCCAAACCAUAGCCAACCUAUGACUUGUUGGUGUAUUUGUUAGAAAGCAGUAUUUGAAGGUCAUAUCCCUGUGACACUUUUUGGAUAGAAUUAAAAACAAAACUAAGAUGAA